GAUGAACGCUGGCGGCGUGCCUAAUACAUGCAAGUCGAGCGAACGGACGAGAAGCUUGCUUCUCUGAUGUUAGCGGCGGACGGGUGAGUAACACGUGGAUAACCUACCUAUAAGACUGGGAUAACUUCGGGAAACCGGAGCUAAUACCGGAUGAUAUUUUGAACCGCAUGGUUCAAAAGUGAAAGACGGUCUUGCUGUCACUUAUAGAUGGAUCCGCGCUGCAUUAGCUAGUUGGUAGGUAACGGCUUACCAAGGCAACGAUGCAUAGCCGACCUGAGAGGGUGAUCGGCCACACUGGAACUGAGACACGGUCCAGACUCCUACGGGAGGCAGCAGUAGGGAAUCUUCCGCAAUGGGCGAAAGCCUGACGGAGCAACGCCGCGUGAGUGAUGAAGGUCUUCGGAUCGUAAAACUCUGUUAUUAGGGAAGAACAUAUGUGUAAGUAACUGUGCACAUCUUGACGGUACCUAAUCAGAAAGCCACGGCUAACUACGUG
rnacentral:rRNA from 1 species